rnacentral:rRNA from 1 species
AUUGAACGCUGGCGGCAGGCCUAACACAUGCAAGUCGAGCGGGGUUUUCGGACCUAGCGGCGGUCGGGUGAGUAAUGCGUAGGAAGCUACCCGAUAGAGGGGGAUACCAGUUGGAAACGACUGUUAAUACCGCAUAAUGUCUACGGACCAAAGUGUGGGACCUUCGGGCCACAUGCUAUCGGAUGUGACUACGUGGGAUUAGCUAGUUGGUGAGGUAAUGGCUCACCAAGGCGACGAUCCUUAGCUGGUUUGAGAGGAUGAUCAGCCACACUGGAACUGAGACACGGUCCAGACUCCUACGGGAGGCAGCAGUGGGGAAUAUUGGACAAUGGGCGCAAGCCUGAUCCAGCCAUGCCGCGUGUGUGAAGAAGGCCUUCGGGUUGUAAAGCACUUUCAGUAAGGAGGAAGCGUUGAGUGUUAAUAGUACUCAGCGUUGACGUUACUUACAGAAGAAGCACCGGCUAACUCUGUGCCAGCAGCCGCGGUAACAC